AGCGGCGGACGGGUGAGUAAUGCCUAGGAAUCUGCCUAGUGGUGGGGGAUAACGUUCGGAAACGGACGCUAAUACCGCAUACGUCCUACGGGAGAAAGCGGGGGAUCUUCGGACCUCGCGCCAUUAGAUGAGCCUAGGUCGGAUUAGCUAGUUGGUGAGGUAAUGGCUCACCAAGGCGACGAUCCGUAACUGGUCUGAGAGGAUGAUCAGUCACACUGGAACUGAGACACGGUCCAGACUCCUACGGGAGGCAGCAGUGGGGAAUAUUGGACAAUGGGCGAAAGCCUGAUCCAGCCAUGCCGCGUGUGUGAAGAAGGUCUUCGGAUUGUAAAGCACUUUAAGUUGGGAGGAAGGGCAGUAACCUAAUACGUUAUUGUUUUGACGUUACCGACAGAAUAAGCACCGGCUAACUUCGUGCCAGCAGCCGCGGUAAUACGAAGGGUGCAAGCGUUAAUCGGAAUUACUGGGCGUAAAGCGCGCGUAGGUGGUUCAGUAAGUUGGAAGUGAAAUCCCCGGGCUCAACCUGGGAACUGCUUUCAAAACUGCUGAGCUAGAGUACGGUAGAGGGUGGUGGAAUUUCCUGUGUAGCGGUGAAAUGCGUAGAUAUAGGAAGGAACACCAGUGGCGAAGGCGACC
rnacentral:rRNA from 1 species